rnacentral:rRNA from 1 species
CCUACGAGUGGGCAGCAGUGGGGAAGAUUGCACAAUGGGGGAAACCUUGAGGCAGCGACGCAGCGUGAGUGAAGAAGUAUCACGGUACGUAAAGCUCUAUCAGCAGGGAAGAAAAUGACGGUACCUGACUAAGAAGCCCCGGCUAACUACGUGCCAGCAGCCGCGGUAAUACGCAGGGGGCAAGCGUGAUCCGGGUUUACUGGGUGUAAAGGGAGCGUAGACGGCAGCACAAGUCUGGAGUGAAAUCCCUGGGCGUAACCCCGGAACUGCGUUGGAAACUGUGCGGCUGGAGUGCAGGAGGGGUAAGCGGAAUUCCUAGUGUAGCGGUGACAUGCGUAGAUAUUAGGAGGAACACCGGUGGCGAAGGCGGCUUACUGGACUGUAACUGACGUUGAGGCUCGAAAGCGUGGGGAGCAAACAGGAUUAGAUACCCCUGUAGUC